UAGAUUAUACAUCAUAUUUCACUUACCAACAGCCAAGCAGACCCUACUUUAGAGAUUGCACAUCAUAAAUAAUGAAAAACGACCCUUCCUGUGGCCAGUGGCAACCAUUGCUAUCCUAUGUGAUCUCAAUGAUCAACAUCCAACUACUGACCUCAGAUUACAUAAGGACCUUUUCAACUAACAAAUCCUAUGGCGGAUCAGAACUCCAUUCAACUCAAUUUUGGUUAUUAUUGAUCUAACACAAACCACUAGUGUAAGGCUUAGAAGGGCAUGUCCUAAAACUCUGCCUGAUAUUUGACAAGAAAGACCUCCAAUAAUAGAAAAACAAAUCAAAAUGCGCAGGCUUAAGACAAGAAUAUGGAAUGGGACCUUUCAUAUUAAAUCAGAAAAUGCUAUGCGACACAAAAUCAUUCACCAUAGAGAAAAAAGAACAUUUUUUCUUGUUAAGAUUCUAUUCAAAUUAAGGUACAUAAAAAAUACAACUGUACACAGAUUCUACACUACACCAGAUAAAGACAGGCAGUUGAGCUAUAUUACCUCGACGGAAAACUCUGUAAUCUCCACCAAUAAGAGCAAAUAACUCAAAACCUGCACCGAAGCCCGAAGGAAACAAUUCCGACGUUCCCCAAGCACGCUCAGAUUCAGAUCCAAGAAUAAGGCGAAAUGCCUCAAACGCUGAAACGGCGACGAAGAAGGAGAAGAAGAACAAGAAGACGAAGAAGAAAGAGAGGAGAAAUCCCAAAGAACGAGGGUAAUAUCUACCCUUGGGGGCCUAAUGUUAGCUGAGAUUACCACGACGAUUCCACUUCUCCAACUGUUUCAGACGAUGGGAACAACUACUAGAACCGCUAUGGUACGAGAUCUGAGAGGGUACCGGAGCCGCGCCCGCUCGCCUCUGCAAGAAUUCCCCGAGCACCGAAGGCAUUGUCGAUGCUCUUCGAAUCCAAGAGCCAAACCCUAAUCCACUUCUCUCAAGAAAGAACCCAACGCCGCGAGAACGAGAAAUCUUCGACUUUCGGUCGAUUGAUCGGCUUCAAAGUUAGCCCAUCAGAAGCUGAGGAGAGAUCAGAGGAGGAGACGAAUCGGAUCGAGAGCGAGAAUUCCUUGUAACGGGUGGGCGGGAGAAAGGGUAGCGCGAGAAAACGAGGGUUGCGGGGGUUUGGGCAACGCGGCGCGGCGCGAUCUUGUUUUCCAUCCUGAUCUAAAAUUGCGGCCGCACACGGCAUUCCGAAGCCAACUCACAGAUUUCGCAUCCCGGCUGUUGGAUUUGGCUGACGGCCGGCAGGGCAUGUCGGCUCCUGACUCAGACCGUUGACAUCU
rnacentral:lncRNA from 1 species